rnacentral:rRNA from 1 species
GACGAACGCUGGCGGCGUGCUUAACACAUGCAAGUCGAACGGAAAGGCCCUGCUUUUGUGGGGUGCUCGAGUGGCGAACGGGUGAGUAACACGUGAGUAACCUGCCCUUGACUUUGGGAUAACUUCAGGAAACUGGGGCUAAUACCGGAUAGGAGCUCCUGCUGCAUGGUGGGGGUUGGAAAGUUUCGGCGGUUGGGGAUGGACUCGCGGCUUAUCAGCUUGUUGGUGGGGUAGUGGCUUACCAAGGCUUUGACGGGUAGCCGGCCUGAGAGGGUGACCGGCCACAUUGGGACUGGGAACGGGCCCAGACUCCUUCGGGAGGAAGGGGUGGGAAAUAUGGCAAAAGGGGCGGAAGCCGGGUGCAGAAACGCCGGGGGGGGGAAGACGGCCUUGGGGUUGGAAACCGUUUUCGCCUGGGACGAAGGGUGGGGGCGGGAAAUGGGAAAAAAAGCCCCGGUUAACUACGG